GGGCCCGCACAAGCGGUGGAGCAUGUUGGUUAAUUGGAUGAUACGCCAAGAACCUUACCAGGGCUUGACAUGGUCCUGACAGCCUGCGAAAGCAGGUCUUCCGAGCAAUCGGACGGGAUCACAGGUGGUGCAUGGUUGUCGACAGCUCGUGUCGUGAGAUGUUGGGUUAAGUCCCGCAACGAGCGCAACCCUCACCGAAUGUUGCCAGCGGAUAAUGCCGGGGACUCUUUCGGGACUGCCUGAGUAAUCAGGAGGAAGGGGGGGACGACGUCAAAUCGGCAUGCCCCUUAUGUCCUGGGCUGCAAACGUGCUACAAUGGCCGGCUACAAAGGGAUGCCAAGCCGCGAGGUGGAGCUAAUCCCCAAAGUCGGUCCCAGUUGGGAUUGGAUCUCUGCAACUCGAGUCCAUGAACGUGGAAUCGCUAGUAAUCGCGGAUCAGCAAUGCCGCGGUGAAUACGUUCCCGGGCCUU
rnacentral:rRNA from 1 species